rnacentral:rRNA from 1 species
AUCGAACGCUGGCGGCAGGCCUAACACAUGCAAGUCGAGCGAGCGGCGGACGGGUGAGUAAUGUAUGGGGACCGCCCGCUAGAGGGGGAUAACUACUGGAAACGGCGGCUAAUACCGCCUACUAUCGGAUAACCCAUAUGGGAUUAGCUAGUAGGUGGGGUAAAGGCUCACCUAGGCGACGAUCUCUAGCUGGUCUGAUAGGAUGAUCAAGCACAGUAGGACUGGGACACGGCCCAGACGCCUACGGUGGCAGCAUAGGGAAAUAUUACACAAAGGGCGCAAGCCUAAUGGAGCCAUGCCGCGUGUAUGAAGAGUGCCUUAGGGAAGGGAAGAACUUUAAGCGGGAAGGCGUUACCCGCAAAAGAAGCGCCUGCUAAAUCCGUGCGAACAGCCGCGGUAAUUC